rnacentral:snoRNA from 1 species
UGGUCAUUAACCAAGGCUCUUUAGAAUGUAGUCUCUCAUUUGCUGUGGACAUGUCCAUAAAACGUUUUCUUGUUAGGUUUUCUAUAUGCUGCCUGGUUAGCAAUCAACCUACUGGGAAUAUUU